CAGAAACGACUGCCAUGCCAGGAAGACCUUCACCAGUGCACAAGGGUAAAUGGGGAAGCCCACUAUUUUAUCUGACUUUUUAACUACAAAUGAAGUCUUUUUCAUUUCAGGCACAUGUGAUACAAAAGAUGAUUAGGAGUACAUGUGCUUAAUUUAUCCGAAUGCUGUCAGCCUGGGAGUUUUGGACCUUAUUAUUCACUAGGAGCCAGUGGAGUUGCCCAUUUGCUUCAGACCGUGCUAUAAAAGUUGGCACCAGCAGAGCUAGCGUGGCUCAUCGGUCGCUAGUGGGAACUGCUGUUGACCCUGCUGGAAGGGGGCUGCAGCACCAGAAGGCAAGAAUUUGGGGAGACGGGCAUGUGGACGCAGCUGUGCUGUGGAUUCUGAAUUUCCUCACAACUUGUGUCGGAGAAGUGGAUGCUCUGAGAGAUCAUCUGUCUUUCCAUCUACCCAAAAUACAGACAACAAGUAAAAGGCGCUAUGUGUAAGUGACAGAAUUAAGGCAUCAUAUUUUAAAGUUAUGU
rnacentral:lncRNA from 1 species